rnacentral:rRNA from 1 species
CGCUGGCGGCGUGCCUAACACAUGCGAGUCGAACUGAGCUGCUUUGAUGAAGUUUUCGGAUGUAUUUAAAACAGCUUAGUGGCGGACGGGUGAGUAACGCGUGGGCAACCUGCCUCACACUGGGGGAUAACAGUUAAAAAUAGCUGCUGCUACCGCCUAGGCGCACGGUUCCGCAUGGAACAGUGGGAAAAACUCUGGUGGUGUGAGAUGGACCCGCGUCUGAUCAGUCCGUCGCUUUGUUAACGGCCUGUCGCACCGACGAUCAGUAGCCGGCCUGAGAGGGUGAACGGCCACAUUGCGACUGACACACGGCCCAAACUCCUACGGGACGCACCAGUGGGGAAUAUUGCACAAUGGGGGAAACCCUGAUGCAGCGACGCCCUGUGAGUGAAAAAUUAUUUCACUAUGUAAAGCUCUAUCUGCAGGGACCAAAGUGACGGUACCUGAAUAAGAAGCCCCGGAUAACUACAUGCCACCAGUCGAGGUAAUACGUGGGGGGCGCGCGUCAUCCGGAUUUACUGGGUGUAAAUGGAGCGUAGACGGCGAGGUCAGUCGGAAGUUGAAAGCCCGGUGCUUAGCGUCGGCACUGCGCUGGAAACUGCUUGGAUGGAGUGGCGGAGAGGUAAGCGGAAUUCCCAGUGCAGCGGCGAAAUGCAUAGAUUAUUACGAAGAACGCAAUUGGCGAAGGCGGCUUACUGGACGUUAACUGACGUUGAGGCUCGAAAGCGUGGGGAGCAAACAGGAUUAGAUACCCUGGUAGUCCACGCCGUAAACGAUGAUUGCUAGGUGUAGGUGGGUAUGGACCCAUCGGUGCCGCAGCUAACGCAAUAAGCAAUCCACCUGGGGAGUACGUUCGCAAGAAUGAAACUCAAAGGAAUUGACGGGGACCCGCACAAGCGGUGGAGCAUGUGGUUUAAUUAGAAGCAACGCGAAGAACCUUACCAGGUCUUGACAUCCCGAUGAAAAACCCGUAACGGGGUUCCCUCUUCGGAGCAUCGGAGACAGGUGGUGCAUGGUUGUCGUCAGCUCGUGUCGUGAGAUGUUGGGUUAAGUCCCGCAACGAGCGCAACCCUUAUUCUUAGUAGCCAGCAGGUAAGGCUGGGCACUCUAAGGAGACCGCCGGGGAUAACCCGGAGGAAGGUGGGGAUGACGUCAAAUCAUCAUGCCCCUUAUGAUCUGGGCUACACACGUGUUACAAUGGCGUAACAAAGGGAAGCGAGCCUGCGAGGGUGAGCAAAUCCCAAAAAUAACGUCCCAGUUCGGACUGUAGUCUGCAACCCGACUACACGAAGCUGGAAUCGCUAGUAAUCGCGAAUCAGAAUGUCGCGGUGAAUACGUUCCCGGGUCUUGUACACACCGCCCGUCACUCCAUGGGAGUCGGAAAUGCCCGAAGUCUGAGACUCAACCGCAAGGAGAGAGCAGCCGAA